AACAGCUGGCGGAGAGGGACAGAGGGGUCAGCCCGAGUGUGGCCGCCGACAGCGGCUACCAGGCCGCGGCCAGAGACGACCCCACCGCUCACCUUCUGCAUGGGCUCGAUCAGCUUCAGGUCGUACACCAUGAAGCCGUCCACGCCCGCCUGGAUCUCCAGCAGCUUCAGCCUGAGGGUACGAGGGAACAUUAUUGGACCCCCAGGAUUAGGAACGUGUUGACGUCUUUCUGUCGUCCUUUUUCGAUUGAGCCGUUUGUGGUUAAUUAAGUAAUUAAUAUGAUGAGGUUAAUCUGUCCAUACGGAAUGCAUGAGCAUAAUUCAAUUUCAAAUGUGUAUCAUACCGCUGUCUAGCUGCAAAGACGCCCAAAACAUCACAGACUAGCAGGUUGAGAAUAACAUGAGGCCACACUGACUAGCAGGUUGAGAAUAACAUGAGGCCACACUGACUAGCAGGUUGAGAAUAACAUGAGGCCCCAUUGACUAGCAGGUUGAGAAUAACAUGAGGCCACACUGACUAGCAGGUUGAUAACAUGAGGCCGUACUGACUAGCAGGUUGAUAACAUGAGGCCACACUGACUAGCAGGUUGAUAACAUGAGGCCACACUGACUAGCAGGUUGAUAACAUGAGGCCGUACUGACUAGCAGGUUGAUAACAUGAGGCCACACUGACUAGCAGGUUGAUAACAUGAGGCCGUACUGACUAGCAGGUUGAUAACAUGAGGCCGUACUGACUAGCAGGUUGAUAACAUGAGGCCACACUGACUAGCAGGUUGAUAACAUGAGGCCACACUGACUAGCAGGUUGAUAACAUGAGGCCACACUGACUAGCAGGUUAAUGAGCGCUAGCUGCAGUGGGGGCACCUUGUGACGUUAGCCAGCACGGUGCGGUGGGCGGGGCCGUCCCGGGCCGGGGGCAGCAGGGGGGCGGCCAUGCCCCCG